UUAUCUUGUCUUCCUUUCUGAAUCUUACUAUUUCUGUUCAUGGUGAAAUUUCCAAAAAUAUCAAACCAUUUACCUUACACACUCGAUUAGUGGCAUAUCCAUCUGUUAGUCUCUUUUGCCAUUCCUGGUUACUUCAGGUUAACUUAAUCACAUGAAUACUUUGAGGAGACUCAUCCAUAGUCUCAGGGUCUACUAAAACUCUUUCUUGAUCGAAUCUUUCUCUAUUCAGAAGCAUUUCAUUCACACGACACGCUUCAGGGACCCUAUGGCGUUACUUCGGAAACUGCACAACCAACAUACUUAAGAAACUCAGCAGUUCCGUAACCCAAUUCUUCUUUCCAUAAAACAAAUAAGUACCGUUGCUUUGUCUGGGAAAAAGUUAUUACUCAGCACUGGAGUAAUUGUACUAACUUGGUACAUUGACCAACUAUCACUUCAACUUCAAUCAUAACCAUCCUAUGUACAAGGAAACUUGUACACAUAAUCCAAAGUAAUAUCUUUCCAUUUCCACUGCGAAACAGAAAAUAGUUAUCUCAAUCCAAAGGUUUAUCUCUUUCUGCCUCAAUCUGCUGACCAAUAAAAAUGUCGAAUGGUAUGAUAAACCUUAUUACUUUCGGAAUAUUGCAGAAGCUGAACAGUGUACUUCGUCCAAAAUUGCUUGUAUUCACAUACCAUUUGAUUCACUAAUCAUGUACUCAUUCUUUUUCCUUUCUUUCUCUGCCUUGGUUAAUUCUUAAAUUUCCUCGUCAAACAUUUAAGUUUCGAGUACGACCUUACCACACAGGCCUAACUUGAAAAUUAACAAGUAUAACUUCUUCUCGAUCUUUCAUUCUUAACUUUUCUUCCGUUGGUUUUCAAUCCACAAGAUGAUACUCUUGGCAACGUGCCAGACAUUAAUCUUACUGCAAUCUUUUCACCAAGUGUAUCAGCUAGAACAAUUUUACGAUCACCCUGGUCGUACAAUCAUAUACAUUAAACAAUUCAAUUUACCUUCGCUACCUCAGAUAAAAUCCUUCCGAGUAAUAGAUAUUGAAGACUUUUUGGAUUCGUAAAAAUCUUGCAUUCUUACCAAAUAUAAUGCCUUCAUAACUUCACAGCAAGAAUGGUAAUCAUGACUUCCAAGUCACCCGUAGGGUAAUUCAUCUCAUGAGGUUCCAUUUAUCGUGAAAUGUAUGCAAUCACCCUAACAUUUGCAUCAACAUGCCUCCAAUACCAUUCAAGAAACAUCACUAAAAAUUUAUGAUUACCACUAUUCUCUGGGAAUACCAAAAUACGUGCAUGAGUGAGGAAAUACUUCAGUUGUUGAAUCCUUUGCUCACAAUUUCCUUCCCACUCAUGCAUAACCUCUUUUCUCAACAGUCUCGUCAAUGACAAAGCAAUGACUAAAAACUCUUUCACAACCAUCCCAAGAUAGCCUGGUAAGUUAAGAAAUUCCAAAUCUCAAUUACGACUCGUGGUUGUUCCAAUUCCUCAAUUUCUGCUAUCUUUUAAGGAUUCACUUGAAUACCUUAAGCAGAUAUAACAAAUCUUAGAAUGCCACUUGAUUCAUUUAACUUUAGCCUUUGCUAAACUUAGCAUACAACCAACGUUCUCUCAAUCUUUGCUUCAUCGACUUAAUACGUUUACAUGCUCUGCUCUGGCUCAGAAUAUGCCAGAAUAUCUUCAAUGAAAAUGAUAUCAAUUUAUCAAGGCAUUAUUGGAAUACUUCAUCCAUCAACUCAUAAAACAGCAUGAGUAUCCACAUAGCAACACCAAACUUCAUAAGGACCAUAACAAGUCCAGAAAACCAUCUUAUGAUCAACGUCACUUAUAAUAUUCAAUUGGUAGUAACCAGAUCUCAAUUCAAUCUUUGAAUCUUCGCAAUUACUUCUGAGCUGGUUAAAUAAACAUCAGUACAUCACCAUGGAUAACGGUUCUCAAUCGUUACCCGACUCCAUUGUCUAUAAUCAAUGAACAGUCUCAAGAUCCAUUUUCUUCCUCACCAACAAACUGGGGCUCCUCAAAAGUGUUGUACUAGGUUGAAUAAAACUUUUAUCAACCAAUUCUUUCAACUGAAUUUCCAAUUCCCUUAACUCAUCAUGAACCAAUCUUUAACAUAAAUUUAUACCUGGCAACAAAUCAAUAGUGAACCUCAUAUCUCUGCCUGAAGGCAAUCCAGGUAUACUUUCAAGGAAGACAUCAAGAAAGUCUAACCCCUUUUUCAUUUUUCACACUUCUCCGAGCAAUAUCAUUUAGUACCACAGGAACUAAGUAUUUUUGGGCAGCCUUUCAAAACAAUCUCUUUGCUUUCACAGCAUAAAUAAUGGCUGAACUCACUUCACUUUGCAUGCCCACUCAUUAAGGUAACCUCUGAUUAAUCAACUCGAUGGAAAGUAACUGGUUUCCCGUAACAUUCCAUCUAGUCACAACUAUAAACAAUCACUCUAAUGGAAUAAAAUUAAUUGACCCAAUACAUACUUUAUUACUACUAAGCAUUCUGAAUAAGUACAAUACUAACAUAAAAUAAUCUACCAGUUUACUUACUUAACGAAUCCACGAAUGAGUUAUUAAUAUUACGGUCUGCAGCCCGCAAUACUGAUAAAUCAUCGUUGUCUCGAUAAGUAGGCAACCACUCUCAAAGAUAUAACAUUACUAUUUUGUCACUCAAUGCAAAAUACAUACACUCGUCUCAACUACAUUUAUUUACUACUCUCUAGGUAAAAACAUACAUAAUAAGAAAUAUAUCAGCCGAAGUCAACUAGAAUGACCAAUACGGCUGAUUCAACUCUUAUCUCAAUAAUACGUCGGCCGGAUCCACUUCGCGUGGUCGGUACGGCCGAGCCUAUAACUCACCAAUUUCUCAUGCGUCAGCCAGAUCCACCUCCCGUGGCCUGUACGGCUGAACAUAUAACUCAUCAAAUCUCUAUGUACCCACGGUCAAUCCAACCAAACUACUAAGUCCAUAAACCUGCUGAAUCGAUACUACGAUGUCAUAGAAAACUGUUGGGUACAACUGAUUCUAGGGACGAUUCACAAUUCUGUGUCCCCUCUGUUCACAUAAACACAGUAAUUAAUUUCACACUUCAAAGUGUUAAUUUUGUACCUGUUGCACAAAGUACAUUUCCUUUACUCGAGACACCUUGUCUCAAAUAUCUGGGAUUACCAGUAUAUCCAUCACUUUUACUCUGACCAGUGACAUUAAAACCUCAGCUAGAAGAAUUAACUCUAGCUUCACUUCUUUCGAAGCUCUGAAUCUUUCUAUAUCCUUGAUAUGACGAAUCAUUAACUUUAUCGUCUUUUUUUUUAUUCCCAUUCUUUUCUUAUUCCUCUUUACUCUCGUUGAUCAUGUUCUCAGAGUCCUCAAGGCUCAACAACAUCUCGUAUAUUCCUGGUAAGAAGUAUAAUGGAUAGUGGUCACCCAAAAUACCACUUCCCUUUUUGCCACCCAGCUUAAAACAACAUAACACCUCAACCAAAUUAACAGUAAUAUCUGGAUGGAACGAGGCAAUUCUGAAAACUUUCUAUAAUAUCCCUCGAUCAUCACCUUCCUUGUCUCAUAAUUGUAAACUCUUGUUUACUACCAUCGAUAAAUGUCGGAGGGAUAAACUUUUCCUUAAACAAGUCCUUAAACAAUUCUCAAUCGACUGUUCCUCCGGUGACAACAAAUCAUACUCCUAUUUCCACCAGGAUACAAAUUCAUAACCAAAACCAGGUAGUCGUCUCGACCCCUUGUCAGAAGGAAAUUUCCUUUGACUUGCAUAA
rnacentral:lncRNA from 1 species